rnacentral:rRNA from 1 species
UACGUAGGCAGCGAGCGUUGUUCGGAGUUACUGGGCGUAAAGGGUGUGUAGGCGGUUCUUUAAGUUUGGUGUGAAAUCUCCCGGCUCAACCGGGAGGGUGCGCCGAAUACUGAGGGACUUCGAGUGCGGGAGAGGAAAGUGGAAUUCCUGGUGUAGCGGUGAAAUGCGUAGAGAUCAGGAGGAACACCGGUGGUGUAGACGGCUUUCUGGACCGUAACUGACGCUGAGACACGAAAGCGUGGGUAGCAAACAGG